rnacentral:rRNA from 1 species
GACGAACGCUGGCGGCGUGCCUAAUACAUGCAAGUUGAGCGCUGAAGGUUGGUACUUGUACCAACUGGAUGAGCAGCGAACGGGUGAGUAACGCGUGGGGAAUCUGCCUUUGAGCGGGGGACAACAUUUGGAAACGAAUGCUAAUACCGCAUAAAAACUUUAAACACAAGUUUUAAGUUUGAAAGAUGCAAUUGCAUCACUCAAAGAUGAUCCCGCGUUGUAUUAGCUAGUUGGUGAGGUAAAGGCUCACCAAGGCGAUGAUACAUAGCCGACCUGAGAGGGUGAUCGGCCACAUUGGGACUGAGACACGGCCCAAACUCCUACGGGAGGCAGCAGUAGGGAAUCUUCGGCAAUGGACGAAAGUCUGACCGAGCAACGCCGCGUGAGUGAAGAAGGUUUUCGGAUCGUAAACUCUGUUGGUAGAGAAGAACGUUGGUGAGAGUGGAAAGCUCAUCAAGUGACGGUAACUACCCAGAAAGGGACGGCUAACUACGUG